GGACAAUGGGCGGAAGCCUGAUCCAGCCAUGCCGCGUGUGUGAAGAAGGCCUUUUGGUUGUAAAGCACUUUAAGCGAGGAGGAGGCUACCUAGAUUAAUACUCUGGGAUAGUGGACGUUACUCGCAGAAUAAGCACCGGCUAACUAUGUGCCAGCAGCCGCGGUAAUACAGAGGGUGCGAGCGUUAAUCGGAUUUACUGGGCGUAAAGCGUGCGUAGGCGGCUGAUUAAGUCGGAUGUGAAAUCCCUGAGCUUAACUUAGGAAUUGCAUUCGAUACUGGUCAGCUAGAGUAUGGGAGAGGAUGGUAGAAUUCCAGGUGUAGCGGUGAAAUGCGUAGAGAUUUGGAGGAAUACCGAUGGCGAAGGCAGCCAUCUGGCCUAAUACUGACGCUGAGGUACGAAAGCAUGGGGAGCAAACAGGAUUAGAUACCCUGGUAGUCCAUCCCGUAAACGAUGUUUACUAGCCGUUGGGGCCUUUGAGGC
rnacentral:rRNA from 1 species